GAUGAACGCUGGCGGCGUGCCUAAUACAUGCCAGUCGAGCGAACGGAUGAGAAGCUUGCUUCUCUGAUGUUAGCGGCGGACGGGUGAGUAACACGUGGAUAACCUACCUAUAAGACUGGGAUAACUUCGGGAAACCGGAGCUAAUACCGGAUGAUAUUUUGAACCGCAUGGUUCAAAAGUGAAAGACGGUCUUGCUGUCACUUAUAGAUGGAUCCGCGCUGCAUUAGCUAGUUGGUAAGGUAACGGCUUACCAAGGAAACGAUGCAUAGCCGACCUGAGAGGGUGAUCGGCCACACUGGAACUGAGACACGGUCCAGACUCCUACGGGAGGCAGCAGUAGGGAAUCUUCCGCAAUGGGCGAAAGCCUGACGGAGCAACGCCGCGUGAGUGAUGAAGGUCUUCGGAUCGUAAAACUCUGUUAUUAGGGAAGAACAUAUGUGUAAGUAACUGUGCACAUCUUGACGGUACCUAAUCAGAAAGCCACGGCUAACUACGUG
rnacentral:rRNA from 1 species